rnacentral:rRNA from 1 species
AGAGUUUGAUCCUGGCUCAGGACGAACGCUGGCGGCGUGCUUAACACAUGCAAGUCGAACGGAAAGGCCCCUUCGGGGGUGCUCGAGUGGCGAACGGGUGAGUAACACGUGAGUAACCUGCCCCCUUCUUUGGGAUAACUGUCGGAAACGAUGGCUAAUACCGAAUACACACCAGUGGUCGCAUGGUUGUUGGUGGAAAGUUUUUCGGUGGGGGAUGGGCUCGCGGCCUAUCAGCUUGUUGGUGGGGUGAUGGCCUACCAAGGCUUUGACGGGUAGCCGGCCUGAGAGGGCGACCGGCCACACUGGGACUGAGACACGGCCCAGACUCCUACGGGAGGCAGCAGUGGGGAAUAUUGCACAAUGGGCGGAAGCCUGAUGCAGCGACGCCGCGUGAGGGAUGACGGCCUUCGGGUUGUAAACCUCUUUCAGCACCGACGAAGCGAGAGUGACGGUAGGUGCAGAAGAAGCGCCGGCCAACUACGUGCCAGCAGCCGCGGUAAGACGUAGGGCGCGAGCGUUGUCCGGAUUUAUUGGGCGUAAAGAGCUCGUAGGCGGCUCGUUGCGUCCAUCGUGAAAACUCCAGGCUUAACUUGGAGCUUGCGGUGGAUACGGGCGGGCUAGAGUUCGGUAGGGGAGACUGGAAUUCCUGGUGUAGCGGUGAAAUGCGCAGAUAUCAGGAGGAACACCGGUGGCGAAGGCGGGUCUCUGGGCCGAUACUGACGCUGAGGAGCGAAAGCGUGGGGAGCGAACAGGAUUAGAUACCCUAGUAGUCC